rnacentral:rRNA from 1 species
GUCCAUGCCGUAAACGAUGAUUACUAGGUGUUGGAGGAUUGACCCCUUCAGUGCCGCAGUUAACACAAUAAGUAAUCCACCUGGGGAGUACGACCGCAAGGUUGAAAACUCAAAAGGAAUUGACGGGGGCCCGCACAAGCAGUGGAGUAUGUGGUUUAAUUCGAAGCAACGCGAAGAACCUUACCAGGUCUUGACAUCCGAUGCAUAGCACAGAGAUGUGUGAAGUCCUUCGGGACAUCGAGACAGGUGGUGCAUGGUUGUCGU